rnacentral:lncRNA from 1 species
AAAUGAAUAAAUAAAAAUAAAUAAAAUGAAUAAUCUCUCUCUUCCUCCAAUCUUUUGCAACAGUUGGGUCUCAACGGUAAUAAGAAGAAAAUUGAAAACAACUAGGCAACAAACCUACUUUCCACGUUACCUCUCUCUCUCUUGUCCUCCAACAGAAAGAAAAAGAAAAUAAAAAGAAGAAAGGAGGAUAACACCUUAGGGACUGAAAUAUCUCUCUCACAGAAAGAAAAGAAAAAGAAGAAAAAAAAACGUAAAAAAACAAGAGAGGACUGUUCCUUUUCUUCUUCAAACACGCCCACCGCAAGUCACCGUCGAUGACACCAUUCCUUUCCAUCGUCGACCGCCUUCUCCAUCAACCACACCCCCACCACUUCCGAUCUCC